AGUGAACGCUGGCGGUAGGCCUAACACAUGCAAGUCGAACGGCAGCACAGUAAGAGCUUGCUCUUACGGGUGGCGAGUGGCGGACGGGUGAGGAAUACAUCGGAAUCUACUUUUUCGUGGGGGAUAACGUAGGGAAACUUACGCUAAUACCGCAUACGACCUACGGGUGAAAGCAGGGGAUCUUCGGACCUUGCGCGAUUGAAUGAGCCGAUGUCGGAUUAGAUAGUUGGCGGGGUAAAGGCCCACCAAGGCGACGAUCCGUAGCUGGUCUGAGAGGAUGAUAAGCCACACUGGAACUGAGACACGGUCCAGACUCCUACGGGAGGCAGCAGUGGGGAAUAUUAGACAAUGGGCGCAAGCAUGAUCCAGCCAUACCGCGUGGGUGAAGACGGCCUUCGGGUUGUAAAGCCCUUUUGUUGGGAAAGAAAAGCAGCAGGUUAAUACCCCGCUGUUCUGACGGUACCCAAAGAAUAAGCACCGGCUAACUUCGUG
rnacentral:rRNA from 1 species